rnacentral:rRNA from 1 species
ACGAACGCUGGCGGCACGCUUAACACAUGCAAGUCGAACGAGAGAAGAGAAGCUUGCUUUUCUGAUCUAGUGGCGGACGGGUGAGUAACACGUGAGCAAUCUGCCUUUCAGAGGGGGAUACCGAUUGGAAACGAUCGUUAAUACCGCAUAACAUAAUUGAACCGCAUGAUUUGAUUAUCAAAGAUUUAUCGCUGAAAGAUGAGCUCGCGUCUGAUUAGCUAGUUGGUAAGGUAACGGCUUACCAAGGCGACGAUCAGUAGCCGGACUGAGAGGUUGAUCGGCCACAUUGGGACUGAGACACGGCCCAGACUCCUACGGGAGGCAGCAGUGGGGAAUAUUGCACAAUGGAGGAAACUCUGAUGCAGCGAUGCCGCGUGAGGGAAGAAGGUUUUAGGAUUGUAAACCUCUGUCUUCAGGGACGAAAAAAGACGGUACCUGAGGAGGAAGCUCCGGCUAACUACGUGCCAGCAGCCGCGGUAAUACGUAGGGAGCGAGCGUUGUCCGGAAUUACUGGGUGUAAAGGGAGCGUAGGCGGGAUCGCAAGUCAGAUGUGAAAACUAUGGGCUUAACCCAUAAACUGCAUUUGAAACUGUGGUUCUUGAGUGAAGUAGAGGUAAGCGGAAUUCCUAGUGUAGCGGUGAAAUGCGUAGAUAUUAGGAGGAACAUCAGUGGCGAAGGCGGCUUACUGGGCUUUAACUGACGCUGAGGCUCGAAAGCGUGGGGAGCAAACAGGAUUAGAUACCCUGGUAGUCCACGCCGUAAACGAUGAUUACUAGGUGUGGGGGGACUGACCCCUUCCGUGCCGCAGCAAACGCAAUAAGUAAUCCACCUGGGGAGUACGACCGCAAGGUUGAAACUCAAAGGAAUUGACGGGGGCCCGCACAAGCAGUGGAGUAUGUGGAUUAAUUCGAAGCAACGCGAAGAACCUUACCAGGUCUUGACAUCGUAUGCAUAGCUCAGAGAUGAGUGAAAUCUCUUCGGAGACAUAUAGACAGGUGGUGCAUGGUUGUCGUCAGCUCGUGUCGUGAGAUGUUGGGUUAAGUCCCGCAACGAGCGCAACCCUUAUGGUCAGUUACUACGCAAGAGGACUCUGGCCAGACUGCCGUUGACAAAACGGAGGAAGGUGGGGAUGACGUCAAAUCAUCAUGCCCCUUAUGACCUGGGCCUCACACGUACUACAAUGGCUGUCAACAGAGGGAAGCAAAGCCGCGAGGUGGAGCAAACCCCUAAAAGCAGUCUUAGUUCGGAUUGUAGGCUGCAACCCGCCUACAUGAAGUCGGAAUUGCUAGUAAUCGCAGAUCAGCAUGCUGCGGUGAAUACGUUCCCGGGCCUUGUACACACCGCCCGUCACGCCAUGGGAGUCGGUAACACCCGAAGCCUGUAGUCUAACCGCAAGGAGGACGCAGUCGAAGGUGGGAUUGAUGACUGGGGUG